GCUACUAUGAUAUUUGCCAUCCUUACGACCUAGCAAGACUUAUCUCUUCAUAUGAUAUCAGACCUGCAGAGACAUUAUGUAUUUUUUGGGAGCAGGCAAGAUGAAAAAUCAGCAAUUGUCUUCACCGGGAAUCUAACCACGGACCUCUGGAAUAACGGCCCAGUGUGCAGACCACCACACCACGAAGGCACGCCAAGAAGGAAUUAUUUAAUAUUAGGAGAAAGAGCGAAUCCAGUCGAAUUUUCAAUAAAACUGCAUAGAUUUUGAGAGUGCACAGAUAUGGACCUCUUUUCUUGACGAACAAAAAAAAUUUUAGAAGUGGAUGGAAUAGCAACCGUAUUAAUAGCGGGCGAAGCAAUGAUCAUUUGCAUCAAGCAUGGAACAUUUUUAUUAUUAUAACUGUAAAAGCUUUCAGAUGACUGAACAGGAAUUCAUUUUGCGAAUGAGGAGAAAGGGAUUAAUAUUGGAAAAAUAAACUUUGCAAAUGUAAAAGGCUAAAAA